UUAUUGGAGAGUUUGAUCCUGGCUCAGGAUGAACGCUGGCGGCGUGCCUAAUACAUGCAAGUCGAGCGAACGGAUUAAGAGCUUGCUCUUAUGAAGUUAGCGGCGGACGGGUGAGUAACACGUGGGUAACCUGCCCAUAAGACUGGGAUAACUCCGGGAAACCGGGGCUAAUACCGGAUAAUAUUUUGAACUGCAUGGUUCGAAAUUGAAAGGCGGCUUCGGCUGUCACUUAUGGAUGGACCCGCGUCGCAUUAGCUAGUUGGUGAGGUAACGGCUCACCAAGGCAACGAUGCGUAGCCGACCUGAGAG
rnacentral:rRNA from 1 species